AUUGAACGCUGGCGGCAUGCCUUACACAUGCAAGUCGAACGGCAGCACGGGAGCUUGCUCCUGGUGGCGAGUGGCGAACGGGUGAGUAAUACAUCGGAACGUACCCUGAAGUGGGGGAUAACGUAGCGAAAGUUACGCUAAUACCGCAUAUUCUGUGAGCAGGAAAGAGGGGGAUCGCAAGACCUCUUGCUUUAGGAGCGGCCGAUGUCGGAUUAGCUAGUUGGUGAGGUGAAGGCUCACCAAGGCGACGAUCCGUAGCGGGUCUGAGAGGAUGAUCCGCCACACUGGGACUGAGACACGGCCCAGACUCCUACGGGAGGCAGCAGUGGGGAAUUUUGGACAAUGGGCGCAAGCCUGAU
rnacentral:rRNA from 1 species